AAGGACGUUGUGCAGGACGCACACACAGCAAAGGGAUUGAAGGGAACAGUGCUAGGACGGCACUCUGAUCAAGGAUUGUCAGAAUUUUUAGUCUGCAAACCCCGCCUCGGCGGGGUUUC
rnacentral:sRNA from 1 species